CGCCUGGGGAGUGCGGCCGCAAGGUUAAAACUCAAAUGAAUUGACGGGGGCCCGCACAAGCGGUGGAGCAUGUGGUUUAAUUCGACGCAACGCGAAGAACCUUACCUGGCCUUGACAUUCAGAGAGCUUUCCAGAGAUGGAUUGGUGCCUUCGGGAACUCUGAGACAGGUGCUGCAUGGCCGUCGUCAGCUCGUGUCGUGAGAUGUUGGGUUAAGUCCCGUAACGAGCGCAACCCCUAUCCCUGGUUGCUAGCAGGUAAUGCUGAGAACUCCAGGGAGACUGCCGGUGACAAACCGGAGGAAGGUGGGGAUGACGUCAGGUCAUCAUGGCCCUUACGGCCAGGGCUACACACGUGCUACAAUGGCGCGUACAGAGGGCUGCCAACUCGCGAGAGUGAGCCAAUCCCUUAGAACGCGUCGUAGUCCGGAUCGGAGUCUGCAACUCGACUCCGUGAAGUCGGAAUCGCUAGUAAUCGCGAAUCAGAAUGUCGCGGUGAAUACGUUCCCGGGCCUUGUACACACCGCCCGUCACACCAUGGGAGUGGAUUGCACCAGAAGUAGUUAGUCUAACCUUCGGGAGGACGAUUACCACGGUGUGGUUCAUGACUGGGGUGAAGUCGUAACAAGGUAACCGUA
rnacentral:rRNA from 1 species